rnacentral:rRNA from 1 species
AGUGAACGCUGGCGGUAGGCCUAACACAUGCAAGUCGAACGGCAGCACAGUAAGAUCUUGCUCUUACGGGUGUCGAGUGGCGGACGGGUGAGGAAUACAUCGGAAUCUACUUUUUCGUGGGGGAUAACGUAGGGAAACUUACGCUAAUACCUCAUACUACCUACGGGUGAAAUCAUGGGUUCUUCUUACCUUUCUCGUUUGUAUUAGCCGAUGUCGGAUUAGCUAGUUGGCUGGGUAAAGGCCCACCAAGGCGACGAUCCGUAGCUGGUCUGAGAGGAUGAUCAGCCACAUUGGAACUGAGACACGGUCCAGACUCCUACGGGAGGCAGCAGUGGGGAAUAUUGGACAAUGGGCGCAAGCCUGAUACAGCCAUACCGCGUGGGUGAAGAAGGCCUUCGGGUUGUAAAGCCCUUUUGUUGGGAAAGAAAAGAAGCAGGUUAAUACCCCGCUGUUCUGACGGUACCCAAAGAAUAAGCACCGGCUAACUUCGUG